rnacentral:lncRNA from 1 species
CAUGGGUCAGGGCAGGGCUGAGUGACAGGAUCAACCAUCCAUCAGUCCAGGAAACAUCCUCUAGAGAGCUGAUCAUUAAACAUUUACCAGCACAUCUCUGAUGAAGGCAUUGAGGAUGGGUGAAAUUUCUGGAAGACUGUGAGCUUGGUGGGUCUCUACCCUGGCUGCACGUGAGGGUCACCUGAGGAGCUCUUAGCAAAUCCCAACACUCAAACACCACUCCAGACGGAUUGAAUCAGAAACCGGAGGAAGCAGAGGAAUGGGGGCAGUGAGCUAGAGAGGGUCCCGGGGUCACAGGAGAAGACUGCCCGCCAGAGUGUGUUAGCCGGCGAACCGAAUGCCCUUUGACUGGGAGGUGCUGCUGACGCUGACGAGAGAGAAGAGACAAAGUCCAUGGAUGACCAAGGAGUGAGGUCCAGAGGCCACACGGCAGGAGAAGAGCCAGCCAGGCGUCGGGGUGCGGCGAACGGAGGCCCUGCCGGGAGUCCCAGCAGUUCACAUCUCAGUGAGCAGCUGACGGCACCGCUCGCUCGGCUGCCCCAGCCGGGCCACCAGCCCUGCGAGAGACACAUGCGCAGACCCGUCCUCAAGGACGCAGCCCUGUAAUUACCCUCAGCUGCCAGCAAACAGCAUCCACUGAAAUGAUAAGCAGACGGUGGAGGCCGGCCCCUCCCGGGGCUGCUCCAGGCGGCAUCCCGCAGACACCUCGGUGGUACGUGCUGUCCGCUGACAUCAGCAGCUUCCUGCCUGUAACAGAAGCCCUGACUCAGGGAGAAGAAGCCCUUCCCAAAGAAACCCAAGCUCCAGCCGCCCCCUGCCAGCCAGCCAGGCUCCUAGGCUGCUGGAAAACUGCUGUGUCCCGGGUGGAGUGAGCCCAGCAGACAGAGGACACAUAAUUAAUGUGACCUUCCAGAUGCAGAGACCCAGUGUGACAGCCUCACGGGUGCCUGUGAAGGCCACCGCCCACCAGGCCUGAUCUCAUUUUCUAAGUCAACCCAGGUGGACCUCCCUGGAGGAUGUGGGUUGGAGGCUGUGCCCUCUGUCCGCGCUUGCUUUGGUCCAGAGGAAGCCCCCUCGCCAAGCCUGAUGCCAGGUUUGACCCCACUGGGCAUACAAAUGACUACACGACCACUGACACUGGGUCCAGACACUGGUGCUGCCUCAGGUCCCCAGGGCUGCGAGGGACACGAGCCAGGGAAGUGACACCCGGCUCCAAGAGGCCCGGUUCCAGAGGGCUUUGCUCAGUGAGGUUUUGGAAGGUGUCACAGCUUGCCUUGGAGACGCUGUCAGUGCAGUGCCACGAGCCACACGUGGCGUUCGAACGCUCAAACGCAGCGAGCGCCAGUGGACAGCUGCCCAACGUGCAAAAUCCACACGAGAUUUCCAAGACGGAGAACAAUGAAAAUCAGGAAACUUAAAAUUACAGAUGCGUUUCACAUGAUGCUUCCACGGGAUAGCACUGCCCUAGACCCUCAGGAUAAAUGGACAAGCCCACUGGCCCCCCAGCUCCUGUGAUGACGUCAGCACAGCCAGCCUUCAAUCCCCGGUCCAGGCACCAUGGAGUGACACUGAGCAAGUCAUUUGGCCUCUCUGGGCGUCCUCCAGUCCCAAAGGGCCCAUUGGGAGGAUGCAACGAGGAGUUUCAUGAAGUACUCAGCACCAAGCACUGUGGUCACCUAUAAAGGCACCAGGGCCUAACUGAAAUUCGGCCCUGGUGGUCAGCGUCACCAUCUACUCCACAUUUUACACAUUCCUUCAAGAAGGAUUGCUACACGCAUGCCAGAGUGCCUGCUAGGGACAGAAGGAGACAUGGGAGAAACCGCAGGCACGUCCCACUGGCCGGGUGUGCUGGUCCAGCUGGGGAGAUAAGGCGUGCCGUGUGCACACAGACUUGAAAGAGUGACGUCCCCAUCCCACAUCACUGAUGAAGUGUCACCACGAGAGCUGCAGAUGUGACGGCUGCCGGGGGGAGGGGGUCCACGUGGCAGGCUCUGGCGGUUCUCAGAGCAGGCGCCUGGGGCCCAGCAGUCAGGCACAGUGUGCACAGAGUAGGCGCUCAAUGACUUUUAAGAGCACGGACAUGGGCAAUGGGUGUUGGCAGUCCCAACUCCGACGCUUCGCAGCUGUGGGAACCCGUUUAUUCGCAUCUGAGACUCAGUUUUCUCAUCUGUAAAAUGGAGAUAAGACCCAGCGUCAGGGCUCUUAUGAGGGGCUGGUCUGUGAGCAAAGGCCCUCUCACCCGGC